rnacentral:rRNA from 1 species
GAUCAUGGCUCAGGAUGAACGCUAGCUACAGGCUUAACACAUGCAAGUCGAGGGGCAGCAUGACCUAGCAAUAGGUUGAUGGCGACCGGCGCACGGGUGAGUAACACGUAUCCAACCUACCGGUUAUUCCGGGAUAGCCUUUCGAAAGAAAGAUUAAUAUCCGAUAGUAUAUUAAAACCGCAUGGUUUUACUAUUAAAGAAUUUCGGUUAUCGAUGGGGAUGCGUUCCAUUAGUUUGUUGGCGGGGUAACGGCCC